ACACACACACUAAAACACAUUAGAAACACACACACACUUCACGUUAACACCAUUUCUUUGGUGUUCAAGCUUUUGACUUCCGAUUUGAGCACCGAGACGAGCGCCGAUCAUCUUUCCGAUCACGUAUCUAAGUAGGUCCUUUUGGGAAGUAACGACUUGAGGGAGAGAGUGACGUUACUCAUUGAUACAGAGACACAACGAGGUUGAGCUGAUGUGAUGAUGGUGCUGCAAUGAGCGGAGUCUCCAGGGUUGUUAAUAAAUAGUUAACCUGUCUAGAAUAUGUCUUCAUACAUAUGUCUAGCUACUUUCCGCUGCAAGAUGUUGUUGAUGUUAUAGUAUGUUAUGUCAUACUUUGAGUCUUAAGAGAAUGGUUGCAUAUGAUGUAUAACUUGAUUAAUGAUAUUAAUUAACUUUUAUGCAGUCUUUCAUAGACUGUUUUCAAUUGAGUAUUAAUGAAUAAAAAUGACGAGUUUUAUUAA